UGCUGCGGGAGAGCGAGAGGCGGGUUGUGGGCUGAAGCCAAAGGCCACGCCCACCAGUUCCCAGCAGGCUCUGCCCCGCCCAUCCCUAGGUUACUCUCCAAUGCCCGCCCCCCGACGUGUCUGAGGCCCCGCCCACAGGCCCCUCCUCCAACACGACCAGAGGCCCCGCCCUAGACCACUCCCAAGACCGCCUCCUAGUGACCAUAGGCCACGCCCCCGCUCCCAGGCUGCAGGGUGGAGGAGCUUCAAGUCCUGCUCCAGUGGAACCGGUUGCUCCCUCCGCUUACCUGUCUUUACCCCCAGCCAAGGUCACCCUCUUCACCAGGAUAAAACCCCCGAGAACCUCAACCUCGGCCCAGCGGACACUCACCCACACCAGCUGCUUCCGGAGCUCAUGGAUGGUUUUCGCGUUGGCGCGGGACUGGGACACGCACACGGUCAGGACCAGGCUUGGGGAGGACAGGGAUGCAAGGUCAGCCACCCUUCCCACCACAGGGGCCUCUCUCCUCAAGGGGAGACAGCAUCUCUCGCCCCCUCCCGGGGGGGGGGGGUUCUGCAGUCCCCUGACACAGGAAGCCGAGCCCAGAGGCUCCUGCUUUACAGGGAGGCACGUGAGGACCCCCAGGCCACCUCUCUUGGGGAACUUGCUUCCCCGGGCAACUCCUGUCUGGUUUCUGGAUCCCAGGAGACUGGCCAGGGGCUGCCAGUCCUAUUCCACCCCCAGGAAAAGGGCACCCUCCCAGGGGUCCUCCACCCUGAGGCACCUGAGCAGGAUGAGGAGGGGGAAGCUGAAGGCAUGGGAACUGAGGUAGUUGAGGGCACGCUGGCCAGGCAGCGGGAGCCACAGGGCCACCACCUCAGGGACCACCUGCCAGGGGGCUGAGUAGUUGGUGAAGAGUCCACAGUCCCGGGAGGAGUGGGUGCUGGAGAAGGAGAGGUGGAGAGACAGUUGUCAGGGCCCCAGGGAGGAGCUGACAGUUGUCAGGGCCCCAGGGAGGAGCUGCCUCUGCCGGCCUCCCAGUCCUCCUCUCACCUGCUGACCACGUAGCCCAGGGGCACUGCGGCCAGGAGCAGGCCCAGCAGCAGCACCAGCUGGAAGAAGAAGGUGGAGCUGGAAGCACGGAAGAGCCGUGGGGAAGGCCUGGAGUUCCUCAGGAGGGUGUACUGGGGGUGAGCAAGGGUGAGCAGGAAUCGUCAGGCAGCGGCCCCCAGUCUGAGGCCCAGGAAGUGAGGGAGGGCGGAAGGCCACAGCCCAGCUCUCCUGCUCCCACCCAACUGGGUGCCCUCACCUUCUUGAUGUAGAAGGUGAGGAACAGGAAGAUGCUGUUGAGCAGGGGGAGCAGAGGGCAGAAGAAGAGGCCCACCCAGGUGACCGUCUGCCCUGCCAGGAUGUCCAGCACAUUCUUGGGCACCAGAAACUCCUCUCGGUCCAGCCAAGUCCAGAACCAGCCUGAGAAUCGCUCUACCAGCAGCCUGGCAGGGGGUGUCCACGUGCCCACCAGGCAAGAGGGGUGUGUGGGCCACAUCAGUCAUGGCCAGGGACCAUUACACCCUCACCCACAUGGAAAUGCCUGGCUGACCUUGGCUGUGUCCACUGGCCAUCCCCAACCAUGCCCACGGUAGCCCCGGGGCAUCCUCCCUGGGGGCCCCCCAUGGCUCACCUCCGAGGCAGGCUGACCAGGAAGGCGAAGGCCACGGUGAGGAGGAAGUUGAAGAUGAUCAGCUUGUACAGCUCCUCGCCCACUGCGUUCUCCCAGCACUGGGUGCAGAGGAGGGGGCGGUCAGCACCCACCACCACCAGGCUUCCCUGCCCCACCCACUCAUUGAGGGGUUCAGGAGCCUUUCCUCCAGUGGGACACAACCUCGGGGUUAGAUUGGAGCUGGGUCCCCCAGCCAGGGGGGCUGCAUGGCCUGAGCGUGUGUGGAACAGGAGCACCCCCUGGGUAUGGGCAGCGGUGUGGCCGCUCUGCUCCCAGCUUCUCACAGAGGUGAGACCUCGGGGGGCCAAGGAGUCUCCAGGGCUCUGUCUGGUUUUGGAGGGGAGCCCUGCUGAGAAGAAUGGGAGGGACAGGCCCCAGGCUGCCGGCUACCUGGUAGUCACAGGCGUUGUAGCCGUAGGCCUCGCAGCUGGUUCUGUUUCCGCCGAUGCACAGGGUGCUCUGGCCCAGGGAGAAGGAGAACAUGCCCAGGCUGGCCAGUUUCAGCACCACGCACCUGUGGGCAGGCAGGCACUGGGUCAGGGGCUGGGCGCCGGGUGGAGUCCAUGAGACACCUUGCCCCCUCUAACUCUAGGGCCCAGCCUCCUUCCAGCUGCUCCGUCCACAGCAGUGUUCCCCAAAGGGUGUUCCCAGAAUCCGAGUCCCCAGAUCAUUCAUGGGGAAGAGGUCUGGGAAACACAACAGAAUCCGCUACCCUACUCCACCUCUCAGCUUAGCAACUCAUGUGGGACAAGCCUGCAGGACACAGACCUUGGGCCUCUCAGAACAGGGAUUGGACUCGGGGUGUCACGCACGCUAGGCAAACGCUUCACCACUGAGCUGCAUCUCCAGCUCCCACGCGCACAUUUCUAACCUACUACAAAAAUAAAGCUUCAAGGCCAA